rnacentral:misc_RNA from 1 species
GAUGAAGAACAUAGCGAAAUGCGAUACUUGGUGUGAAUUGCAGAAUCCCGUGAACCAUCGAGUCUUUGAACGCAAGUUGCGCCUCAAGCCAUUAGGUUGAGGGCACGUCUGCCUGGGCGUCACAUAUCGUUGCCUGAUGCCAGUUUCCUCGUGAUGGGUGACUGUGCAGGGCGAAUGAUGGCUUCCCGUGAGCAUUGUUGCCUCAUGGUUGGUUGAAAAUUGAGUCCUUGGUAGGGAGCGCCGUGAUAGAUGGUGGUUGAGUGACGAACGAGACCCAAUCAUGUGAGACCCCUACCGAAUUUGGCCUUCAUGACCCACAUGCGUCUUUGGAACGCUCAUGACGAGACCUCAGGUCAGGCGGGGCUACCCGCUGAGUUUAAGCAUAUCAAUAAGCGAAGGA